rnacentral:lncRNA from 1 species
AAUGGCUCCUCCACCUUUCUUAGCACGAGAAGUGUCAGCAGCCCUCCAGUCCUGAACUUCUCCACAAUGAAGAAUGUCAGGCUUGUGGGAGCAGCAAUGAACUCAGACCUAUCUAAGAAGCUUACAGUGAGCUCCUCCUAGUGAAACCCGCUUCAAUGCUGUCUGACCUUGGAGUGCUCAGGCCUUGUUAGCUGCCAACCAACCCCAGGUGCUGCCCCCGCAAGAUGGACCUGCCGUCCUGCUGUUGUGGUACUCACACCCUCUGCUUUUUAACUCUGACAUGCUUUGGGAAUGUCCAGUUUAUUCUGCAGCUCCUCAGUGUGACAUCUGGAAACCUACCAGGUUAAAUGGAUAGUCAGCGACAAAUGCAGGAUCUUCAAAAUACUUUCUACAGAAAGCUGUUCCUGGGGGGAGAAUUCAGUGGAAUAUGGCUAACACUGAAGGAGGUCUUAUCUUUGGUAAAAGCAAUAGUGCUAGGAUUCUUGUUCCUUUUCUGGGCAAGUGCUGGCCAUGCCAUGGACUGCAGUCUGACAACAAGCCCUUUACAAGCUCUUUGCCACGAUUCAGUGAUCAUCUUUAAUCUGUAUAAUUCUGUUAUUUUCUCUGCUUACUCCCACUUAAGAAUGGCAAUAUCUACAGGUCAUGAGUGAAGGAAAAGUUCUGGGGAGUGCUGUUCUGAUGGUACUUGUCCCAGGCAAUGUGACUUUAUAACUGGGUGCUUACAGAAGAGUAAUUUCAGUUAAUCUAAUAAUUAGCAGUUUCAAGGAAUCCAUGGGAACCAGAGCUUUCUGUUGUAUUCUGUCUUUGUGAGUGGCGAUGUUUGGAUCAGUUUACUGACAUUGCACACCCUAGUGAGCAUAUACUCUAACAUCGAAGAACAGGCUAGUGCUGUGAUACUUCAAACAGUGUGGAAAAAAGCAUUCAGCUAUUGUUUUAAAUUGUCAUUGCUG